UACAGAGACUGCAAGCGUUAUUCGGAUUCACUGGGCGUAAAGGGUGCGCAGGCGGCCAAGUGUGUUAGGCGUGAAAGCCCGGGGCUUAACCCCGGAAUUGCACCUAAAACUACAUGGCUAGAGCAUUGGAGAGGGUAGCAGAAUUCAUGGUGUAGCAGUGAAAUGCGUAGAUAUCAAGAGGAACACCUGAGGUGAAGACGGGUUGCUGGGCUGACACUGACGCUGAGGCGCGAAAGCCAGGGGAGCAAACGGG
rnacentral:rRNA from 1 species